rnacentral:rRNA from 1 species
CUGGCUCAGGAUGAACGCUAGCGACAGGCUUAACACAUGCAAGUCGAGGGGCAGCGAGGGAGUGGCAACACUUCUGUCGGCGACCGGCGCACGGGUGAGUAACGCGUAUGCAACCUGCCCUUCACAGGGGGAUAACCGGGAGAAAUUCCGACUAAUACCGCAUACGUCCUUUGGGGGCAUCCCCGGGGGAUGAAAGAAUUAUCGGUGAAGGAUGGGCAUGCGUGAUAUUAGGUAGUUGGCGGGGCAACGGCCCACCAAGCCCACGAUAUCUAGGGGUUCUGAGAGGAAGGUCCCCCACAUUGGUACUGAGACACGGACCAAACUCCUACGGGAGGCAGCAGUGAGGAAUAUUGGUCAAUGGACGAGAGUCUGAACCAGCCAAGUCGCGUGAAGGAAGACGGAUCUAUGGUUUGUAAACUUCUUUAGUGCGGGAACAAAGCGGCGUCGUGACGCCUGAUGAGUGUACCGCAAGAAUAAGCAUCGGCUAACUCCGUGCCAGCAGCCGCGGUAAUACGGAGGAUGCGAGCGUUAUCCGGAUUUAUUGGGUUUAAAGGGAGCGCAGGCUGCGAGGCAAGUCAGCGGUCAAAUGUCGGGGCUCAACCCCGGCCUGCCGUUGAAACUGUCCUGCUAGAGUUCGAGUGAGGUAUGCGGAAUGCGUUGUGUAGCGGUGAAAUGCAUAGAUAUGACGCAGAACUCCGAUUGCGAAGGCAGCAUACCAACUCGCGACUGACGCUGAGGCUCGAAAGCGUGGGUAUCGAACAGGAUUAGAUACCCUGGUAGUCCACGCAGUAAACGAUGAAUACUAACUGUUCGGAGGGCGACCUCUGAGUGGUAAAGCGAAAGCGUUAAGUAUUCCACCUGGGGAGUACGCCGGCAACGGUGAAACUCAAAGGAAUUGACGGGGGCCCGCACAAGCGGAGGAACAUGUGGUUUAA